rnacentral:rRNA from 1 species
UACGUAGGGGGCAAGCGUUGUCCGGAUUUAUUGGGCGUAAAGAGCGUGUAGGCGGCCAGGUAGGUCUGCUGUGAAAACUCGAGGCUCAACCUCGAGAUGUCGGCGGAAACCAUCUGGCUAGAGUCCGGAAGAGGAAAGUGGAAUUCCCGGUGUAGCGGUGAAAUGCGCAGAUAUCGAGAGGAACACCUGCGGCGAAGGCGGGUUGCUGGGCCGACACUGACGCUGAUGCGCGAAAGCCAGGGGAGCGAACGGG